rnacentral:rRNA from 1 species
GCAAGUCGAACGGUGAAAGAGGAGCUUGCUCCUCUGGAUCAGUGGCGAACGGGUGAGUAACACGUGAGUAACCUGCCCCAGACUCUGGGAUAAGCACUGGAAACGGUGUCUAAUACCGGAUACGAGCUUCAGCCGCAUGGCUAGGAGCUGGAAAGAAUUUCGGUCUGGGAUGGACUCGCGGCCUAUCAGCUAGUUGGUGAGGUAACGGCCCACCAAGGCGACGACGGGUAGCCGGCCUGAGAGGGUGACCGGCCACACUGGGACUGAGACACGGCCCAGACUCCUACGGGAGGCAGCAGUGGGGAAUAUUGCACAAUGGGCGCAAGCCUGAUGCAGCAACGCCGCGUGAGGGACGACGGCCUUCGGGUUGUAAACCUCUUUUAGUAGGGAAGAAGCGAAAGUGACGGUACCUGCAGAAAAAGCACCGGCUAACUACGUGCCAGCAGCCGCGGUAAUACGUAGGGUGCAAGCGUUAUCCGGAAUUAUUGGGCGUAAAGAGCUCGUAGGCGGUUUGUCGCGUCUGCUGUGAAAACUGGGGGCUCAACCCCCAGCCUGCAGUGGGUACGGGCAGACUAGAGUGCGGUAGGGGAGAUUGGAAUUCCUGGUGUAGCGGUGGAAUGCGCAGAUAUCAGGAGGAACACCGAUGGCGAAGGCAGAUCUCUGGGCCGUAACUGACGCUGAGGAGCGAAAGCAUGGGGAGCGAACAGGAUUAGAUACCCUGGUAGUCCAUGCCGUAAACGUUGGGAACUAGAUGUAG